UCCUUAGUGGCUCAGUUGGUAAAGAGUCCACCUGCAAUGCAGGUGACCCAGGUUCAAUCCCUGGUUUGGGAA
rnacentral:tRNA from 1 species